rnacentral:rRNA from 1 species
UACGAAGGGGGCUAGCGUUGCUCGGAAUUACUGGGCGUAAAGCGCACGUAGGCGGCUUUCUAAGUCGGGGGUGAAAUCCUGGAGCUCAACUCCAGAACUGCCUUCGAUACUGGAGAGCUCGAGUCCGGGAGAGGUGAGAGGAACUGCGAGUGUAGAGGUGAAAUUCGUAGAUAUUCGCAAGAACACCAGUGGCGAAGGCGGCUCACUGGCCCGGUACUGACGCUGAGGCGCGAAAGCUAGGGGAGCAAACGGG